UGUUGGUCGGGUCCCCUUUCCUUUCUCACGGCAGCUGAGGGUUUUCCAAGCAAGAAGGGGUAUUUAUAAGCUGGUCAUUGCGGGUUCAUCAGGGAGCCGAGGUGCCCCACGUCUACCCAGCUCGGCGGCCAGGCCCCACCCCCUCUCUCCUUUUUUUUUUUUCAUUUCCUUAUUCCUUACAACAGAUCAAUACAACCAAAAAUAAAAUAUGUCUACCAGGAAGAUGGC